CGACGGGUGAGUAACGCGUGGGUAACCUGCCUUGUACAGGGGGAUAACAGUUGGAAACGGCUGCUAAUACCGCAUAAGCGCACGGCAUCGCAUGAUGCAGUGCGAAAAACUCCGGUGGUAUAAGAUGGACCCGCGUUGGAUUAGCUAGUUGGUGAGGUAACGGCCCACCAAGGCGACGAUCCAUAGCCGACCUGAGAGGGUGACCGGCCACAUUGGGACUGAGACACGGCCCAA
rnacentral:rRNA from 1 species